GAGACUGCGCAUGUGCAUGAAUACCACAAGACAUUUUGCCGCCAGUUCAGUUUGUUCAAAGCUUGUUCCACUGGGAAAGGGAGUGGGAUAGAUGUGUCAGAGUGAGAGAGUGAGAGUGAGAGAGUGAGAGAGAGAGAGAGAGAGAGAGAGAGAGAGAGAGAGAGAGAGAGAGAGAGAGAGAGAGAGAAAAGUCCUUGAUAGAAGAAAAGAAAAAAACAACAACUGAAUGAUGACGGAAGGCUUUUACCUCUGGGAGUUGCUUUGCUUGACUUUCAGAAAGAAGAAGGGGAAUGGAGUGGAGUGGAGUGGAGAAAUGGAAGAGAGGAAGAGUUGUGAGUGUUUUUUGGCAAGUCGGAUGAAAAGUAACAGACCAGAGAAGGGACAGAGAAGAUGAGAGGAAAACACCAAGCACAAGACAGGACAGGAUGUUUACAGGAAAAACAAGGGUGCAGCUUUCCACACGUUCAUUACAUUGACUUCUGACUUCUGUCAAUCAAAGCUUCUACCUUUCUAUGGAGUGUUGUCUGUUGAAGAAGAAUCUUCCAGCCUUUUAGGUUUUUAUUUUCACGUCUUUUUUAUUUGUACUUUUUGAAGUUGUGGAUGUACAGUAUUUUGGUGUACAGUGACAGUACAGUACAGUACAGUACAGUGACAGUACAGUACAGUACAGUACAGUACAGUACAGUACAGUACAGUACAGUACAGUACAGUACAGUACAGUACAGUACAGUGACAGUACAGUGCAGUGACAGUAAAGUACAGUGACAUGACAGUGACAGUACAGCACAGUACUGUACAGUGACAGUACAGUGACAUUGCAGUACAGUGACAGUACAGUACAGUGACAGUACAGUGACAGUACAUUACAGUGACAGUACAGUGACAGUACAGUGACAGUACAGUACAGUACAGUGACAGUACAUUACAGUGACAGUACAGUGACAGUACAGUACAUGACGGUACAGUGACAGUACAGUACAGUACAGUGACAUGACAGUACAGUACAGUGUCAGUGACAGUACAGUGACAGUACAGUACAGUGACAGUGACAGUGACAGUACAGUACAGUGACAGUACAGUACAGUGACAGUACAGUGACAGUACAGUACAGUGACAGUACAGUACAGUCACAGUACAGUGACAGUACAGUGACAGUAAAGUACAGUACAGUGACAGUUGACCUGGAUGGUAUUGUGUAUAUUACACAUCUUGUCACUACCGACCGACUGACCGGCCACUGGAUAUUGUUUUCUAGUAACAGAAUAGAGACUGAGAAGAAAACACUUCCCGCACACCACCUCCUUUCAAUGUGGAUAUUUGGUUCAUAUUUGGUUUAGACAUUGAUCAAGUGAGAUUACAACCUAUAUUCACCCACUGAAAAAGACUGCCAAUAGUUAGUUGAAUGUCAAAUGUGUUGUCACUGUGCUUUCAACCAUUUUAAAGCACAGCAAAGUUCAAAUGGGAACACAAUGUCAGAUAUUUUAAUUAUUUAUACAACCAAUUCAUGUGUAAUUACUUAUCACUGUGCUUCAUCUAACUACAUUACAAGUACAUGUGCAAGUGAUUAAUACGGAUUGAGAUUCUACCAGAUUAUUACAACUGUGAAGAUCUGCACAGACCUGCGACCAUCUAUACAUGCUAUCUUGAUCACGCACGCUUUAUAUGAUUACAUAACAAGAAACAUAUAGAUACAGUCAAAUUUAAAUGUGGCCAUUGGAUGUGUUACUAAUUUUAAGGUUAAAUGUUACAUUAGUUUGUCAGAUAGCCUUAUCUUAAGACUUUUUACUGUCUUACAAAAAUAAUAUUGAAUUGUGUUCUGUUGACCAAGCAAUCAAAUAUCAACAUUUAUAGGAGAUGUAUCUACUGUUUGGAUAGCUCCGUCUGACCCACUGGCUUCAUCUUUAACUGGUAUUUUUGGUUGAGUUGGUGACAUGAAUCCAAUAUAUAAUUUGUAACUUGUCGACAAAUUAACAGGCUAUUUGUUGUAUUCAGGAAAUGAUGUUUAAUUGUGUUUGGUUGUCAACACAACCAUAUUUCAACAUCUUCUGCUUGAAUAGUUCCAUCUGUGCCACUGAGACUGUGUUGAAUCGGAUCAGCUUGUGGAAAGAAAUGUGCUGUGAAAAGUUCUGAUGUGAUUGGUCAAAAAAACUAUUAGUGAAAGACAGAUCAGAAUUGGGAUGCCUGUGUAAAUGCAAUACAAUUAGUGAAAGACAGAUCAGAAUUGGGAUGCCUGUGUAAAUGCAGCGUGUCUUAGUCUGUCUUUAGUUCCAGUUUGUAUAUAAAUGAAUAACGUCUCCACCUCACACCAUAAAUCAAAGUUUAAAGAAUAUUAGUGAAUCAAACUUGAAAUGCACUUUUAAUAACGUUUGAUUUGAUGUAGUCCGAGUCUUUAACUUAGAUUUUUGGUUGAGAUGGAGAAGUGAAUCCAACAUAUCUAUAACGGUUUUCUUGUGUCGAAGGAGAGGCGGACCAAAAAGCAGCGUGGUUAUUAUUCAUGGUUCUUUAAUAAAGAAACUAUACAUGAAUAGACUAACAAAACAAGAAAUGUGGGAAAAAACCAAAACAACCCUAUCUGGUGCAAACACAGAGACAGGAACAAUCACCCACAAACCCCAACACCAAACAGGCUACCUAAAAUAUGGUUCCCAGUCAGAGACAAUGACUAACACCUGCCUCUGAUUGAGAACCAUAUCAGGCCAAACACAGAAACAGACAAACUAGACACACAACAUAGAAUGCCCACUCAGAUCACACCCUGACCAAACAAAACAUAGAAAUAUACAAAGCAAACUAUGGUCAGGGUGUGACAAUAUCAAUCACCAAUUUGUAGACAAACUGGAAUUAAAGCCAGACUACUAAAUCAGUGGCUCAGAUGGAACUCUCCAAAUAGAAGAUACAGUUCCUUCUAAUGUUCAUGGUCACGUUGACAACUCAAUGUCAUUACAUUUGAAAUCAACCAGAGCCUGAAACCCUGGGCCUGUAGUAUAUCCAUUUUUAGUUGAAUUAUGGGUUUCAUUGAAACAAUAGUUGUUGAUGACGUUGUAAAUGCUAUAUAGGCCUUAGUAGUAUAAUUGAUGGUAUAUUCGUGAUAUAGUAUGGUCACAUUUCAACUUUUCUGUCAAACCUUACCCUUUGGAAUGACUUUUCCACCAACACUGAAUCUAUUUGGUUUUUAAUUGGAGAUGUCUGAGCAGUUUUUCUCACGAUAGCACAUUGGCAAUAGUCAGUCACAAAUAUUGUAGCUAAUCAGGGCUGGGUAUGGCUAAAUCCCUGGAUGGGAGACCAAACAGUAGCUGUAGGUUGAUCAACUAUCCAGUAGGAGGUGCUGCCCAGCCUGUUACUUUUUUCUGAUAUUGAAUAUAACAUUGAAGAUCUGAUGUUGUUUUAAAGGAACAAAUUCAACAUGUUUUAUACAAGGUUUUUCUAUGUUGAAAUUUGGUUACCUGAUGAUAUAAUUCUGUGGUUGAAAUUUCACCCUCAAAACAACAGUAAUAUUGAUACUGUAUUUUCCACAUAGAUUCCAAGUCACAAUAAGUUGACAAAUUACAUCGAAACGGUGAUUCAACCAGUUUGUGCCCAGUAGGUUUGAAACAAUGUCAAUCAAUGAUCACUGUCCUGUCUCCCCUUUCCAACCAACAUCUGUUCUAACAGCCAGAGGGAUGUGGGUCUGUUCUAACAGCCAGAUGGAUGUGGGUCUAACAGCCAGAGGGAUGUGAGUCUGUUCUAACAGCCAGAGGGAUGUGAGUCUGUUCUAACAGCCAGAGGGAUGUGGG
ensembl:lncRNA